AGGAGGAGAGAGAAGGAUUGGAUCGCCCUUUUCUCUCUCUCCCCAAUCCUCUCUGCCCGUCGGUCGGCCAUCCAUGGAUCGCCUCAUGUCCUCGAUCUGCUUGAUCAUCCUCUUCUCCGCAUCGCUGAUUGCAGAUGGCUACUCGAUCCCCCGGAGUGAUGCCGACGACGAGCUCCUGAUCCGGCAGGUGGUGUCUGACGCCGACGUCGCAUCGGAGAAGGAUGAGGCGGUUCUGGGGGCGGAGGGGCACUUCGCCAGCUUCCUGAAGACGUAUGGGAAGUCGUACGCCACUCCGGCGGAGCACAGCUACCGGUUCUCCGUGUUCAAGGCCAAUCUCCGCCGGGCGCGGAGGCACCAGCUGAUGGAUCCGUCUGCCGUACAUGGGAUUACCCAGUUUUCCGAUCUCACACCGGAGGAGUUCGAGCGGAACUACCUCGGCCUCCACCGCAGGAAGCCCACCAUGUUCUCGAAGGUGGGAAACGGUGGUGCGCACGAGGCGCCGCUCCUCCCCACCAGCGACCUGCCCCAGAACUUCGAUUGGAGAGAUCACGGUGCCGUUACCCCUGUCAAGAAUCAGGUCGGUAGAGGGCGAUCUCUAUGCAUCGUAUCUAGUUAUCUCUUGCGUGUCUAUGGGUCAUUACUUUGGCGUCCGGAUUGUAGGGCUCUUGUGGAUCUUGCUGGUCUUUCAGCGCAGCGGGGGCUCUGGAAGGGGCCCACUUUCUGGCGACGGGAAAUCUAGUGAGCCUCAGCGAGCAGCAGCUUGUAGAUUGUGAUCACGAGGUAUGUCUUUCUAUCCCAGAAGACUAGGCCUUUUGUGUGUUUUCCUCUGAACAACGCGUCCCAUCUACCGCUUUUGGGACUUCUGGCCCGCACGGUUGCUGAGGUUGGUUACAACUACCACAUCGGAUUUUUUUGGAUCAUUUGCGUCAUAUGUUUAGGACAUGAUACGUGCAUAAUACCUACGUAUUCAUGUGCCUAUAUCUCUCAAGUAGACUUCUUCGAAUCUAUCCAUGAAAGUUGUGAUAAUACGUUUGAUGAGUGACAUUCACAUGUCUGAGUCUUUUAUGAGGAAUCAACAAUCCAUGGAUAUCUAUGGAUUCCUGUUCUGCCAUAUCCCCUCAGUUUUUCCUGAAUUUAUUCCAGCUUCUUCAGGGAGCAGGUCUUAUAUUAUUUAUAGGUUUGUCAAAAAAGUGUGAUUUUUUCUUUUCUAGCUGUAUGAACCAUGCAAUUAUUUUGCAGUGUGAUGCGUCUGAUCCUGGAGCCUGUGAUGCGGGAUGCAACGGUGGACUGAUGACCAC
rnacentral:lncRNA from 1 species